AGCGAACGCUGGCGGCAGGCUUAACACAUGCAAGUCGAACGGAUCCUUCGGGAUUAGUGGCGGACGGGUGAGUAACACGUGGGAACGUGCCUUUUGGUUCGGAACAACACAGGGAAACUUGUGCUAAUACCGGAUGUGCCCUUCGGGGAAGGAUUAUCGCCAUUAGAGCGGCCCGCGUCUGAUUAGCUAGUUGGUGAGGUAAAGGACUCACCAAGGCUACGAUCAGUAGCUGGUCNGAGAGGAUGAUCAGCCACACUGGGACUGAGACACGGCCCAGACUCCUACGGGAGGCAGCAGUGGGGAAUCUUGCGCAAUGGGGG
rnacentral:rRNA from 1 species